UACGUAGGGGGCUAGCGUUGUCCGGAUUUAUUGGGCGUAAAGAGCGUGUAGGCGGCCAUGUAGGUCCGGUGUGAAAACUCGAGGCUCAACCUCGAGACGUCGAUGGAAACCAUCUAGCUAGAGUCCGGAAGAGGAGAGUGGAAUUCCUGGUGUAGCGGUGAAAUGCGCAGAUAUCAGGAAGAACACCCGUGGCGAAGGCGGCUCUCUGGUACGUGACUGACGCUGAGACGCGAAAGCGUGGGGAGCGAACAGG
rnacentral:rRNA from 1 species